rnacentral:rRNA from 1 species
GACGAACGCUGGCGGCGUGCCUAAUACAUGCAAGUUGAGCGCUGAAGGCUGGUACUUGUACCAACUGGAUGAGCAGCGAACGGGUGAGUAACGCGUGGGGAAUCUGCCUUUGAGCGGGGGACAACAUUUGGAAACGAAUGCUAAUACCGCAUAAAAACUUUAAACACAAGUUUUAAGUUUGAAAGAUGCAAUUGCAUCACUCAAAGAUGAUCCCGCGUUGUAUUAGCUAGUUGGUGAGGUAAAGGCUCACCAAGGCGAUGAUACAUAGCCGACCUGGGAGGGGGAUCGGCCACAUUGGGACUGGGACACGGCCAAAACUCCUGCGGGAGGCAGCAGUAGGGAAUCUUCGGCAAUGGACGAAAGUCUGACCGAGCAACGCCGCGUGAGUGGAGAAGGUUUUCGGAUCGUAAAACUCUGUUGGUAGAGAAGAACGUUGGUGAGAGUGGAAAGCUCAUCAAGUGACGGUAACUACCCAGAAAGGGACGGCUAACUACGUG